GACGCCGUGGCAGAGUGGUCUUGCGGCCGGCCGCAACCCGGCAGGUGCCCGUUCGAUUCGGGCCGGCGUCU
rnacentral:tRNA from 1 species